UACGUAGGGGGCAAGCGUUGUCCGGAAUUAUUGGGCGUAAAGAGCGCGUAGGCGGUCUGAUAAGUCGGUUGUGAAAGUCGGGGGCUCAACCCUCGGAUGCCGAUCGAUACUGUCGGGCUAGAGUCCGGAAGAGGCGAGUGGAAUUCCUGGUGUAGCGGUGGAAUGCGCAGAUAUCAGGAAGAACACCCGUGGCGAAAGCGGCUCUCUGGAACGGUACUGACGCUGAGACGCGAAAGCGUGGGGAGCGAACAGG
rnacentral:rRNA from 1 species